AUUGACCGCUGGCGGCAGGCCUAACACAUGCAAGUCGAACGAGUGGCGGACGGGUGAGGAAUGUAUGGGAAACUGCCCGAUGGAGGGGGAUAACUACUGGAAACGGUAGCUAAUACCGCAUACCAUCGGAUGUGCCCAGAUGGGAUUAGAUAGUAGGGGGGGUAACGGCUCACCUAGGGGACGAUCCCUAGCUGGUCUGCGAGGAUGACCAGACCCACUGGAACUGAGACACGAGCCAGACUCCUAGGGGAGGCAGCAGUGGGGAAUAUGGAACAAUGGGCGCAAGCAUGAAGCAGCCAUGCCGCGUGUAUGAAGAAGGCCUUCGGGUUGUAAAGUCCUUUCAGCGAGUAGGCGUUACUCGCAGAAGAAGCACCGGCUAACUCCGUGCCAGCAGCCGCGGUAAUAC
rnacentral:rRNA from 1 species